UGUUCUUUAAAUAAGGACUAGUAUCAACGGCAUCACGAGGGUUCUACUGUCUCCCCUCUCUAAUCAGUGAAACUGACUUCCCCGUGAAGAGGCGGGGAUACAACUACAAGACGAGAAGACCCCAUGGAGCUUUAAACCCACUAACAAUCUCUGGCCAAACACACCCACGCAAAUGAAGAAUAAUGUACAGUGGUUUUAGGUUGGGGUGACCACGGAGUAGAACUAAACCUCCAUGACGAACGGAAAUUCAUCCUAAUCCACGAGCUACCGCUCUAAGAAUCAAAAACUUGACAUAAAAUGAUCCGGUAACCGAUCAACGAACCAAGUUACCCUGGGGAUAACAGCGCAAUCCAUUUCAAGAGCCCCUAUCGACAAAUGGGUUUACGACCUCGAUGUUGGAUCAGGGUAUCCUAGUGGUGCAGCCGCUACUAAAGGUUUGUUUGUUCAACAAUUAAAAC
rnacentral:rRNA from 1 species